UCCCACCGAGCCAUAGUCAACCCGUGGCCUUGGCCCCUAGCCCUUGGCCAUGACUUGGCUUAGUUACAGUUAUCCCCUCCAUAUAGGUGUCUUAAGGGAAAACUUCCAACCGUUAGUAGAGGCACCCCUCUGUCCCCAACUAACCCAGAGGCAUCUGAUGCCCCUGGAACUUUCCCCAGCCCAUACUUAGGCUAGGAAAACAUCAUCAAACAUGGGUCCACCCGUUUCUCACAAGCUUCACCUUCGGCCUUCCACCUAGGCCAUGGCUUGGCCGAACUUGGCCACGGCCGCGCGCGUUCCGUUUGGACCGCGCCCUAAGGGGCUAACA
rnacentral:lncRNA from 1 species